rnacentral:rRNA from 1 species
GAGGUCCCGCCUGCCCUGUGACUAUAUGUUUAACGGCCGCGGUAUUUUGACCGUGCAAAGGUAGCGCAAUCACUUGUCCUUUAAAUGGGGACCUGUAUGAAUGGCACAACGAGGGCUUAGCUGUCUCCUCUUUCAAGUCAAUGAAAUUGAUCUUCCCGUGCAGAAGCAGGAAUAAUAACAUAAGACGAGAAGACCCUAUGGAGCUUUAGACACAAAAUAGACCACGUUAAACACCCUCAAAUAAAAGAACAAACUAAAUGGACCCUGUUCAAAUGUCUUUGGUUGGGGCGACCACGGGGUAACAAAAAACCCCCAUGUGGAAUAAAACACCAUUUUAAAACCAAGAGCCACUGCUCUAAUAAACAGAACAUCUGACCAAUGAGAUCCGGCCUAGCCGAUCAACGAACCGAGUUACCCUAGGGAUAACAGCGCAAUCCUCUUUUAGAGUCCAUAUCGACAAGAGGGUUUACGACCUCGAUGUUGGAUCAGGACAUCCUAAUGGUGCAGCCGCUAUUAAGGUUCG